rnacentral:rRNA from 1 species
GAUGAACGCUAGCUACAGGCUUAACACAUGCAAGUCGAGGGACCGGCGCACGGGUGAGUAACACGUAUCCAACCUGCCCGUUACUCGGGGAUAGCCUUUCGAAAGAAAGAUUAAUACCCGAUAUAAAGGAUGGGGAUGCGUUCCAUUAGGUUGUUGGUGAGGUAACGGCCAACCAAGCCUUCGAUGGAUAGGGGUUCUGAGAGGCAUGACCCCCUGCAUUGAACUGAGGCACGGUCCAAACGCCUACGGGAGGCAGCAGUGAGAAAUAUUGGUCAAUGGGCGGUAGCCUGAACCAGCCAAGUAGCGUGAAGGAUGAAUGCUUAUGGGUCGUAAACUUCUUGUAUAUAAGAAUAUGUAUUAUAUGAAUAAGGAACGGCUAACUCCGUGCCAGCAGCCGCGGUAAUAC